rnacentral:rRNA from 1 species
AUUCUCAGUUCGGAUUGUAGGCUGAAACUCGCCUACAUGAAGCUGGAGUUACUAGUAAUCGCAGAUCAGAAUGCUGCGGUGAAUGCGUUCCCGGGUCUUGUACACACCGCCCGUCACACCACGGAAGUCGGGGGCGCCCGAAGCCACUUAGCUAACCCUUUUAGGAAGCGAGUGUCGAAGGUGAAAUCAAUAACUGGGGUGAAGUCGUAACAAGGUAUC